GGGUCCGUGGCGUAGCUUGGACACUUAAAGCCAAAAAGCGCGUCGGCCUUCUAAGCCGGAGAUCCCGGGUUCAAGUCCCGGCGGACCCGCCA
rnacentral:tRNA from 1 species